GCGAGCCCAACCUCCCACCCGUGUUUACUGUACCUUAGUUGCUUCGGCGGGCCCGCCAUUCAUGGCCGCCGGGGGCUCUCAGCCCCGGGCCCGCGCCCGCCGGAGACACCACGAACUCUGUCUGAUCUAGUGAAGUCUGAGUUGAUUGUAUCGCAAUCAGUUAAAACUUUCAACAAUGGAUCUCUUGGUUCCGGCAUCGAUGAAGAACGCAGCGAAAUGCGAUAACUAGUGUGAAUUGCAGAAUUCCGUGAAUCAUCGAGUCUUUGAACGCACAUUGCGCCCCCUGGUAUUCCGGGGGGCAUGCCUGUCCGAGCGUCAUUGCUGCCCAUCAAGCACGGCUUGUGUGUUGGGUCGUCGUCCCCUCUCCGGGGGGGACGGGCCCCAAAGGCAGCGGCGGCACCGCGUCCAUCCUCGAGCGUAUGGGGCUUUGUCACCCGCUCUGUAGGCCCGGCCGGCGCUUGCCGAACGCAAAUCAAUCUUUUUCCAGGUUGACCUCGGAUCAGGUAGGGAUACCCGCUGAACUUAAGCAUAUCAAGCCGGAGGAAA
rnacentral:rRNA from 1 species